rnacentral:misc_RNA from 1 species
GAUGAAGAACGCAGCGAAAUGCGAUAAGUAAUGCGAAUUGCAGAAUCCGUGAGUCAUCGAAUCUUUGAACGCACAUUGCGCCCCUUGGUUAUUCCGAAGGGCAUGCCUGUUCGAGCGUCAUUAUCACCCCUCAAGCCCCGGCUUGGUGUUGGGCGACGUCCUCUUUGGGGACGCGCCUCGAAACGCUCGGCGGCGUGGCACCGGCUUUAAGCGUAGCAGAAUCUUUCGCUUUGGAAGUCGGGGCCCCGUCUGCCGGAAGACCUGCUCGCAAGGUUGACCUCGGAUCAGGCAGGGAUACCCGCUGAACUUAAGCAUAUCAAUAAGCGGAGGA